GAACGCUGGCGGCGUGCUUAACACAUGCAAGUCGAACGCGAAAGGGACUUCGGUCCUGAGUAAAGUGGCGCACGGGUGAGUAACGCGUAGAUAACCUGUCUUCAUGUCUGGAAUAAUACGCCGAAAGGGGUACUAAUACCGGAUAUUCUUGCUUUUCAUAAGUUAUGCAAGCAAAGGUGGCCUCUGCAUAUGCUACUGCAUGAAGAGGGGUCUGCGUACCAUUAGCUAGUAGGUGGGGUAAUGGCCUACCUAGGCGACGAUGGUUAGCGGGUCUGAGAGGAUGAUCCGCCACACUGGCACUGGAACACGGGCCAGACUCCUACGGGAGGCAGCAGUGAGGAAUAUUGCGCAAUGGGGAAACCCUGACGCAGCGACGCCGCGUGAGUGAAGGAAGGCCUUCGGGUCGUAAAGCUCUGUCAAGAGGAAAGAAGUGUACAAUGGCUAAUACCUGUUGUAUUUGACGGUACCUCUAAAGGAAGCACCGGCUAACUCCGUGCCAGCCGCAGC
rnacentral:rRNA from 1 species